rnacentral:lncRNA from 1 species
CUAGCCUUCCUAUCUCUACCUUUCUUGUCUCCUUGUCUUCCUUAAAUCUCUUCCUAGGUCUUUGUUCUAAAAUCGAUCUUGUCCUUACUAUUUUUGGACUUGUUCUAACAAAAGAAAGAAGAGACUAAUUGGAUAAAAGGGAGAAGGUGUAAGAAAGAAGAGAUAGAAUUGAAAAUCUGAAUGAAUGAAUCCCCGAUGCAGCCCCUUUUAAAUAGUUGCGAUAGGAUGCAUUGGGAUUUGAUUCGCACCCUCUCCACGCGACAACUCAUGCCCAUCUAGAUUAUCUCACACCCCAAGUAUAAUUUUCAUGCCCAUCUAGAAGCAUUUGACACAUGGAAAAGAUCGAGAAAGAAAUUUGAGAGAUGCUUCACGUAGAAAGACUCUUCAGAAUAUUUUUUCAAUGUUUCUCCAAUUCAUCGUGAGGCUUCACUGGGUGUAAUUUUUCUCCACCAUAGAUUCCUACCUUCUAAUGCGCACAUGCCCAGAAUGAGAUGCUUUUCACAUCCCUUCACCCAUCAGAUUAGUGUGAAAUUUUGCAACAUAAACCUUUGUUCAAACAGGAAGUCCAUCACUAAAUGACACAU